GAGUAGACGUGACAAGAAGUUGAUCGUAAAGAUUUGGUUGAUUCCAUCUAUCAAACAGGUGGAGGUGACAAAGGUGAUGGGACAUUCAGUGGCCUACUCCCCUUCUAUGGUGGGUCCUCACUCUGGUGGUCAAAUAUGCCAAUGAAGAGGCAUUCUCUAGUCCAGUUGUGUUCCAAGUGUUGCCUACUAAUGAUGCCAACAAGUUGCACGUGUCUGGAUCAGGCUUGGAGUCAGGAAUUUGUGCCCACAUUCCUCAGACCUUCACCAUUGACUGUAGCAAGACUGGAGAGGCCCCAAAAUCUGUGGCUGUCAUGACACCUAGUGGUAAUAUAGAGCUUGCAAAGGUGACAAAGAAUGGAUGGGACAUACUUAGUGUGCUACUCCCCUUCCAUGGAUUCUCUGGUGGCCAGAUGAAGAUGAGUUUCAUAGGUAACUCAGUAGGAUUUCAUAUUUUAGAUGCCGUUGUUAAUGUAGACCAGUCACAUUGUCAUUUUGUGAAAAAUUCAACUAGAUUUUUCUGUAUUUAACUGUAUUGCAGUCUCUAAAACUUCCAAGUUUGUGUGGGCCAGGCUUGCAGUCAGGAAUUUGUGCAAUGUUCCCUCCGAUAUUCACAAUUGACUGGAGAGACCAUCUCUUGACCAUCACUUUUGUGUGCCUUUUUGACCAGUAUGUUUCAGUUCCUUGUCUUGUGCUCUCAUGAUGCCAGUAAAGUGAGAGCCAGAGGUCUGGGCCUGGUAUCUGGGUUACCUGCCAGCCUAUCGUCACAAUUCACCAUAGAUGCUAUGAUGUAGGAGAGGGCCAUUAAUCAGUGAAGAUUACUGUGAGUUAUAAAUUAUGAUUUACGUAAGAGCCAUAUUAUAAGCUUGAACCCCUUGUGGAGGCCACAGUCUAAGGUUUUAUCACCAGCACAUUUUAUGUCGCA
ensembl:lncRNA